GGGGAUGUUUGUUCUUUACACUGCUCAAAUCUCGAUCGGUUUCAAUAUUUGAUCAGUGAUUGCAACUUGUUAUUUAUCUUUCUUUUGCUUUUCCCAUCAUAGUUUCUCUUUAUCGUUAUUAGUUGAAAUUGUAGAUAUAGGUCAGCGUCCAUCGACCCAUUGUGGGCAAGGAGGCUGACAAAAUUUUCUUAUGUUUGAAGAUGACAAUUAUUGUGGUGAAUUGACUGUUGUCAUUCUUAAGAGUUUCGUGUCAGAAUAUCCACAGUGGAAACAGCUGGCUCUCCUGCAUGAUCUACUAAUAAUUUACUUAUCAAAUGAACACCUUACUAUGCAUGUGUUAGAGGGAAGAUUGAGUACGUUGAUUCAUCCUAACCUCGUGGGAGUUUCGUACAUUUCUAGUUCAUUUGGAGAUCUUGAUUUGUGUUAAUCAUGAUUUUAAAUAAAAUAAACGUCUCUAAUUUCAGCUUUAAUCCUUGGCAAGUUCUUCAUUAGUUAGACAAAUUUGAUUGCAUAGGGUUUUGUAAAUCUGAAUAUCGUUAACAAUAACUUUAUUUUGAUUAACGUUAAUUUUUAAAUCACUAUUCACUAUAAUUUUAUCUUUUGUAGGAAAGAAAAAGAAAUCUGAUGUGGGGUUAAAUACCAUUUAUUUCUUGAUGUUGCUACUUUGUGAAAAAAAAGGGCAUGUGCUGUGGAGACCUCCGAAUGUGAUAGUUAGAAGAUGUGAAAUGAUUAAUAUUAGUGGUAUGAGACGAGAUCGAAGAAGACCUAAAAAGACUUUAAUAAAAACUAUCAAUAAAUAUUUAAUUAUUCUAAACUUAAAUAAACAUGGCUUUUUAUAGAUCUCAAUUGCGACAAAAGAUCUAUGUAGCUGAUCCCAAAUAGUUGAGAUUUACAACUUUGUUAUUAUUGUUAUUGUUACUUUGUGAAAGUAGUGCUGCAAGACUAUAGGACUAAAGCCUUUUUUUUUUGUUAAGGUUAAAUAUUUACCAUUCACUUCAAUUAAGGUUUCCUUCAUUUAAUUCACUUAUUAUUUUAUCAAACAUUCUCAGAAAAAAACCACAACCUAUUCGAUGGCCGACUCUGACAAGGCAGCUGUGGUUGUGUAACAGCCUACUCCAGCGGUUGACUAGACAAGGUGGCCGUGGUUGUCGAUGGUGCGGCAGCCAUUGCAGUGAGAGAUGAGGCUUUUGUGUGUGCUGUGCUACUCUAGAUCGGUGGCCACCUAAGAAAUGUGACUAUGGAUCAUGCUGCUGGGGGUUGGGUUCCAUGCUCUAUCUGAAUCUUUGCAACCCCAUCUUGUUGAGUGCAGUAAAAGCAUUUUCUCUGCUGAAACUUCGCAUCGGGGGUUCCUUGCAAGAGAAGGUCAUAUUCAACACAGGAAAUCCUCAGCAAUCAUGUGUGUCAUUCCUCAAGAAUACUUCUGAGAUGUUUGGUUUCUCUCAAGGAUGCUUACCCAUGCCCAGAUGGUUGAGCUGAAUGAGUUCUUCAAGACAGCAGGGUAGAAAUCUUCUCUAGCAAGUUCAAAUUUUACUGUUGAUGAAUAAUUUCUCUCUGAGACCACUCAGAAACUUCAUCCUAUCUUUUGCUCACACAUUAUUUUUGGGUUGAAUGCACUCGAUGGAAAAGUUCCUCUGAGUGAUGGUUCACUAGGACCUUGGAACAACACCAAUGCCACUUCUCUCAUUGGUAUACAAACAAUAAGGGUUGCACCAUCUGUUGUUGGGAGCUUGGCAAUGAACCAAGUGGAUCUGGAGAUGGAGCUACAAUUGGUGCAGACCAGUAUGCUGCAGAUGCUAUAGGAAUAUUUAAAGAAGGAUUGGCAUCAAAGUGACCUGCAGCUCUCGAGUGGGUUAAAUUGCAUAACUCUAUGGAUUAAUAAUUUUCAUACCAGUAUUUCCUAGAUAUCAUUGACCCGACAUACACUUACUAAAUAUUUUGGAUGUCAUUGACUUGACUAUUUCAUAGGGUCAUUUAUCACAUGGACAUCCUAAGAUCACAUUAUUGUCCCAAAAGGUACCUUGCGAUUUACAUUCUCAGUUCUCGAAUAUAAUUGUAGUUUACUUUACUACGAAUGUGUAGAUCUUUUAUCACAAUAUAGUAGUAGUAGUUUACUACGAAUGUUAGUCCUUUAUUAUAAUCAUUUCUUCAUCUUCUAUCUUAGACCAUAUGACAUUGUGUCGAGUUUUUGCUCCUUAAAUGUAACUCGUAUCAGUAAUGUGUUUUGUAUACUGGUUA